rnacentral:rRNA from 1 species
GACGAACGCUGGCGGCAGGCUUAACACAUGCAAGUCGAACGCCCACUUCGGUGGGAGUGGCAGACGGGUGAGUAACGCGUGGAAACAUACCUUUUGCUUCGGAAUAUUCCCGGGAAACUGGGAGCAAUACCGAAUGUGCCCUGAGGGGGAAAGAUUUAUCGGCAAAAGAUUGGUCCGCGUUAGAUUAGGUAGUUGGUGGGGUAAAGGCCUACCAAGCCUACGAUCUAUAGCUGGUCUGAGAGGAUGAUCAGCCACAUUGGGACUGAGACACGGCCCAAACUCCUACGGGAGGCAGCAGUGGGGAAUAUUGGACCAUGGGCGCAAGCCUGAUCCAGCCAUGCCGCGUGAAUGAUGAAGGCCUUAGGGUUGUAAAAUUCUUUCACCGGGGACGAUAAUGACGGUACCCGGAGAAGAAGCCCCGGCUAACUUCGUGCCAGCCGCCGCCGUAA